rnacentral:rRNA from 1 species
CAGCUUCCUGGGGCGCAGCCUGAUGCAGCCACGCCGCGUGAGUGAUGAAGGCCUUCGGGUUGUAAAGCUCUGUGGAGAGGGAAGAAUCCGUGCGUCCUCAUAUCCUGCGCGUUGACGGUACCUCUUUAACAAGCACCGGCUAACUCCGUGCCACCAGCCGCGGUAAUACUGACGGUGCAAACGUUGCUCGGAAUCAUUGGGCGUAAAGCGCACGUAAGCGGCCUGGUUAAUCCGACGUGAAAUCCCUCAGCUUAACUGAGGAAAUGCCUUCAAAACUGACUGUCUUGAGUACGGGAGAGGGUCGCGGAAUUCCCGGUGUAAAGGUGAAAUUCGUAGAUAUCGGGAGGAACACCCGUGGCUAACGCGGCGGCCUGG